UUCCUACGGGAGGCAGCAGUGGGGGAUAUUGCACAAUGGGGGAAACCCUGAUGCAGCGACGCCGCGUGUAGGAAGACGGUCCUCUGGAUUGUAAACUACUGUCCCCAGGGACGAAGAUGACGGUACCUGGGGAGGAAGCUCCGGCUAACUACGUGCCAGCAGCCGCGGUAAUACGUAGGGAGCGAGCGUUGUCCGGAAUUACUGGGUGUAAAGGGAGCGUAGGCGGGGAUGCAAGUUGAGGGUUAAAUCUACCGGCGCAACUGG
rnacentral:rRNA from 1 species